GGUAAUUCUUAAGAUAAGAGAAUUUGAUGUUUUUUAAGAAUAAUCAGUGUCUGCAUUGUCAUUCUUAUUGUUGUUGUUGAGGGAAUUUGUUUUUACCAGAUGGGAAUUCAAGUAAACUGCUUCACAUUUCAUUUUCUUAUACCAAUCUUUUUGUAUUCCAGGAGUGGUCUCCUGUCAGAAUUGGAUUUCUGCAUCAGAAGUGAUAAUCCAUGCAGGACACAAUAUCACCCUCUAUUGUGACUGCAAAUUAUCCUCUGGAGUAUAUAUAGUAUGGUACAGGGAUUGUUCUCAUGAGAACCAGCCAUCUCUUGUUUUAAAACUGAAAUAUAAUUCAUGGGGAAAUAACACAUUUGACCUACUGAACCCCUUAUCGCAUUUUCAAUUUGUGAGGAAUUUUUCCUCUGAGUCCUAUGACCUUAUGAUUUUAAACGUCACUGAUUCUGAUGAAGGCCUCUACUACUGUGGAACAGAACAACAACGGCUGGAGGAUAAAGAAUUCAUCGUGCCCAGAUUUAUUUACACAUAUGGCAAUGCCACAACAAGAAUCAUAAUAGGUUUCAGCAAACAUCACCAACCUCCUCAGAACUGUGACCUAUGUUGGAUGCUGCUACUCUCUCUUUGUCCAGUUUUUGCUGGCAUCUCCUCACUCUUCUCCUCACUUCUGGUUUAUCAUCUAUGUAGGAAAAGAUUUAUUAACUCUGAAGAACCUGAAGUUGACCAGAUACAUCCUAAAACAAGACGUCUAACAAGAAUAAAGGAUGAAGAUAUGUGUUACGCUGCCCUGGAAAUCCGUCAGGCAUCGCAGAGGCAAAAGAAGAAAACACAGAGUUCUGACUUCUGCACAUAUUCUGCUAUCAAUAUUUCUAAGGUGUAGAAAAUUCUACACCUAAGUGUGAAGCUGUUUUGUGUGAAAGUGUGAAAACUUUUCAAAUAUGAUUUGUUAAUAUUAUAAAUAUUUUGCUGCAAGCUCCUCUGUUUCUGGUGAUGCCAACCUUUACUGCAAAUGGUUGAAAAUGUACAGAAAAUACAUUUUUAUUUCAGUAAUUUUCUUGAAUCGGUGUGAGUAAUGGAUAUUUUUGUGGUUCAAAAAGGGACAUUUUGGUUCUAAAAUAUUCUGCAUGUGAAGGUUUUGUGUUUUUGUAGCUUCACUCUGAACCGAAAUGUACACAAAAAUAUAUAUUUUUUAAUUGAAAUUGUUUUUAUUACGAUGUUUCAGGCUACAUGUCAUCUGGUUUGUAAGUGAAUUGUUAAUUACUUGGCGUUUUUUAGAUGUUUUUAGAAUAUGCUUGCACUUUUUUAAAUUAACAGAAAGGUAGGUUGCUAUGUGCUUUUUUACUGGGCUGGCCAACUAGAAAUUAAAUUGGAAUAAAUCUAUUACAUAAAGCUUGACUGACGGUGCUGCCUUAAACCAUAAAAACUAACAAAAAGAACUAUAAUGGUAGUUACGUUUUCUAUCGACUUGUCUGACACAUGACUGUUAACAGAGAGUCUUUUGAGUCUUACUGGGAUUAUUUUAAUGUCCAUUUUAUUCUUAUUUUUCUCUGGUUAGGUUCAGUCAAUGCAAAAUACUUGGG
ensembl:lncRNA